AUGUGGUUUAAUUCGAUGAUACGCGAGGAACCUUACCCGGGCUUGAAAUGCAUCUGACCGGCCUUGAAAGAGGCACUCCCUUCGGGGCAGAUGUGUAGGUGCUGCAUGGUUGUCGUCAGCUCGUGCCGUGAGGUGUCGGCUUAAGUGCCAUAACGAGCGCAACCCUCAUCAUUAGUUACCAUCAGGUAAGGCUGGGGACUCUAAUGAGACUGCCAUCGUAAGAUGUGAGGAAGGUGGGGAUGACGUCAAAUCAGCACGGCCCUUACGUCCGGGGCGACACACGUGUUACAAUGGGUGGUACAAAGGGCAGCUACCUGGCGACAGGAUGCUAAUCUCGAAAACCGCUCUCAGUUCGGAUCGGAGUCUGCAACUCGACUCCGUGAAGCUGGAUUCGCUAGUAAUCGCGCAUCAGCCACGGCGCGGUGAAUACGUUCCCGGGCCUU
rnacentral:rRNA from 1 species